rnacentral:rRNA from 1 species
UACGGGGGGGGUAAGCGUUGUUCGGAAUUACUGGGCGUAAAGGGCUCGUAGGCGGCCAGCUAAGUCAGACGUGAAAUCCCUCAGCUUAACUGGGGAACUGCGUCUGAUACUGGAUGGCUUGGAUGUGGGAGAGGAAUGCGGAAUUCCAGGUGUAGCGGUGAAAUGCGUAGAUAUCUGGAGGAACACCGGUGGCGAAGGCGGCAUUCUGGACCAAUAUUGACGCUGAGGAGCGAAAGCCAGGUGAGCAAACGGG